rnacentral:rRNA from 1 species
UACAGAGGGUGCGAGCGUUAAUCGGAAUUACUGGGCGUAAAGCGUGCGCAGGCGGUUUUGUAAGUCUGUUGUGAAAUCCCCGGGCUUAACCUGGGAAUUGCGAUGGAGACUGCAAGGCUAGAAUCUGGCAGAGGGGGGUAGAAUUCCACGUGUAGCAGUGAAAUGCGUAGAGAUGUGGAGGAACACCGAUGGCGAAGGCAGCCCCCUGGGUCAAGAUUGACGCUCAUGCGCGAAAGCGUGGGGAGCAAACAGG